GUUGGUAACAAAAAAGAAAAAAGAAACCAUGCCACCAUUUGGAAAAUCUCAGACAAGGAAAAGUGGGACCGCUAAGGUGGUCUCAUGUGCCACGGGCUCACAUAACCAUUAGACAAAUGUCGCAUUGCACUAGGAAAAGGCCAUUUAGCACUACAGUAGAACAAUUCUUCUCAAAAUUUUGUUGCAAAACCUCUUUUGUUUCUUUUCCAUAGAGAACAUGGGCAUGUACCUUGUUUCUAGAUUGGUGUGCAUGAGGAUUACUUCUCUUUCAUUUUCACUCAGUCACA
rnacentral:lncRNA from 1 species